AUUGAACGCUGGCGGCAGGCCUAACACAUGCAAGUCGAGCGGCAGCGGGAAAGUAGCUUGCUACUUUUGCCGGCGAGCGGCGGACGGGUGAGAACGCCUGGGGAUCUGCCCAGUCGAGGGGGAUAACUACUGGAAACGGUAGCUAAUACCGCAUACGCCCUACGGGGGAAAGCAGGGGACCUUCGGGCCUUGCGCGAUUGGAUGAACCCAGGUGGGAUUAGCUAGUUGGUGAGGUAAUGGCUCACCAAGGCGACGAUCCCUAGCUGGUCUGAGAGGAUGAUCAGCCACACUGGAACUGAGACACGGUCCAGACUCCUACGGGAGGCAGCAGUGGGGAAUAUUACACAAUGGGGGAAACCCUGAUGCAGCCAUGCCGCGUGUGUGAAGAAGGCCUUCGGGUUGUAAAGCACUUUCAGCGAGGAGGAAAGGUUGGUAGCUAAUAACUGCCAGCUGUGACGUUACUCGCAGAAGAAGCACCGGCUAACUCCGUGCCAGCCGCCGCGGUAAGAC
rnacentral:rRNA from 1 species